CAGCCAGACUCCUACGGGAGGCAGCAGUGGGGAAUCUUCCGCAAUGGGCGAAAGCCUGACGGAGCAACGCCGCGUGAUCGAAUGAAGGCCUUCGGGUUGUAAAGAUCUGUUGACAGGGACGAAUAAGCAAUGCGAAUAGUUUUGUGUAUGACGGUACCUAUUUAGAAAGCUCCGGCUAACUACGUGCCAGCAGCCGCGGUAAUACGUAGGUGGCAAGCGUUGUCCGGAAUUACUGGGUGUAAAGGGAGCGUAGGCGGGAAAGCAAGUUGAAUGUUUAAGGUACGGGCUCAACCUGUACAAGCGUUCAAAACUGUUUUUCUUGAGUGGAGUAGAGGUAAGCGGAAUUCCUAGUGUAGCGGUGAAAUGCGUAAAUAUUAGGAGGAACACCAGUGGCGAAGGCGGCUUACUGGGCUUUAACUGACGCUGAGGCUCGAAAGCGUGGGUAGCAAACAGGAUUAGAUACCCGCGAGG
rnacentral:rRNA from 1 species